AACGCUAGCUACAGGCUUAACACAUGCAAGUCGAGGGGCAUCACGGGAGUAGCAAUACAACUGGUGGCGACCGGCGCACGGGUGAGUAACGCGUAUGCAACCUACCUAUCAGAGGGGAAUAACCCGGCGAAAGUCGGACUAAUACCGCAUAAAACAGGGGCACCGCAUGGUGAUAUUUGUUAAAGAAAUUCGCUGAUAGAUGGGCAUGCGUUCCAUUAGGUAGUUGGUGAGGUAACGGCUCACCAAGCCGACGAUGGAUAGGGGAACUGAGAGGUUGGUCCCCCACACUGGUACUGAGACACGGACCAGACUCCUACGGGAGGCAGCAGUGAGGAAUAUUGGUCAAUGGGCGAGAGCCUGAACCAGCCAAGUCGCGUGAAGGAAGAAGGAUCUAUGGUUCGUAAACUUCUUUUGCAGGGGAAUAAAGUGCAGGACGUGUCCUGUUUUGUAUGUACCCUGAGAAUAAGGAUCGGCUAACUCCGUGCCAGCAGCCGCGGUAAUACGGAGGAUCCGAGCGUUAUCCGGAUUUAUUGGGUUUAAAGGGUGCGUAGGUGGUUUGAUAAGUCAGCGGUGAAAGUUUGCAGCUUAACUGUAAAAAUGCCGUUGAAACUGUCGGACUUGAGUGUAAAUGAGGUAGGCGGAAUGCGUGGUGUAGCGGUGAAAUGCAUAGAUAUCACGAAGAACUCCGAUUG
rnacentral:rRNA from 1 species